rnacentral:lncRNA from 1 species
GAUUGAACCGGUUUCAUCCGGUCUGAUCCGGUUUGAUCCGGUUUCAGCCGGUUUGAACCGGUUUCAGCUGGUUUGAUCCGGUUCCAUCCGGUUUGAUCCGGUCUGAACCGGUUUCAUCCGGUCUGUUUCGGUUUGAACCGGUUUGAGCCGGUUUGAUCCGGUUUCAGCCGGUUUCAACCGGUUUCAGCUGGUUUGAUCCGGUUCCAUCCGGUUUGAUCCGGUCUGAACCGGUUUGAUCCAGUUUGAACCAGUUUGAGCCAGUUUCAUCCGGUUCCAUCCGGUUUCAACCGGUUUCAGCUGGUUUGAUCCGGUUCCAUCCGGUUUGAUCCGGUCUGAACCGGUUUGAUCCGGUUUGAACCGGUUUGAGCCGGUUUCAUCCGGUCUGAUCCGGUUUGAACCGGUUUGAGCCGGUUUGAUCCGGUUUCAGCCGGUUUCAACCGGUUUCAGCUGGUUCCAUCCGGUUUGAUCCGGUCUGAACCGGUUUCAUCCGGUCUGAUCCGGUUUGAACCGGUUUGAGCCGGUUUGAUCCGGUUUCAGCCGGUUUCAACCGGUUUCAGCUGGUUUGAUCCGGUUCCAUCCGGUUUGAUCCGGUUCCAUCCGGUUUGAUCCGGUCUGAACCGGUUUGAUCCGGUUUGAACCAGUUUGAGCCGGUUUCAUCCGGUUCCAUCCGGUUUGAUCCGGUCUGAACCGGUUUCAUCCGGUCUGAUCCGGUUUGAACCGGUUUGAGCCGGUUUGAACCCGUUUCAGCCGGUUUGAACCGGUUUCAGCUGGUUUGAUCCGGUUCCAUCCGGUUUGAUCCGGUUCCAUCCGGUUUGAUCCGGUCUGAACCGGAAUGAUCCGGUUUGAACCAGUUUGAACCAGUUUCAUCUGGUUCCAUCCGGUUUGAUCCGGUCUGAACUGGUUUCAUCCGGUCUGAUACGGUUUGAACCGGUUUGAGCCGGUUUGAUCCGGUUUCAGCCGGUUUCAACCGGUUUCAGCUGGUUUGAUCCGGUUCCAUCCGGUUUGAUCCGGUCUAAACCGGUUCGAUCCGGUUUGAACCAGUUUGAGCCGGUUUGAUCCGGUUCCAUCCGAUUUGA